CACUCCUGCGGGAGGCAGCAGUGGGGAAUUUUGGACAAUGGGGGCAACCCUGAUCCAGCAAUGCCGCGUGAGUGAAGAAGGCCUUCGGGUUGUAAAGCUCUUUUGUCAGGGAAGAAACGGUGGUGGCGAAUAACUACUACUAAUGACGGUACCUGAAGAAUAAGCACCGGCUAACUACGUGCCAGCAGCCGCGGUAAUACGUAGGGUGCAAGCGUUAAUCGGAAUUACUGGGCGUAAAGCGUGCGCAGGCGGUUGUGUAAUUCAGAUGUGAAAUCCCCGGGCUCAACCUGGGAAUUGCAUUUGAUACUGCACGGCUAGAGUGUGUCAGAGGGGGGUAGAAUUCCACGUGUAGCAGUGAAAUGCGUAGAUAUGUGGAGGAAUACCGAUGGCGAAGGCAGCCCCCUGGGAUAACACUGACGCUCAUGCACGAAAGCGUGGGGAGCAAACAGGAUUAGAAACCCGGGUAGUCCCAUGAU
rnacentral:rRNA from 1 species